UUAAAUUAAAACGAUUGUAUCCGCUAGUUAUUCCGCACAAACAACAUUGCUCAUUUACAUUGUAAAUGAGCAUUCUAAAAUCAAAUUGAACUAUACUGGCCACCAUACAUUGUGCAAGGCCAACACGCUAAUUGAUUGUGACUUCAUCGUUUGUCAUUUUGACGGGAUGUCAUUCUUCUAUCCGUGUUGCAAGUGGAGGUGUAAUUAUAAACACGGAUAUGAUGGGACUACUCAGCACAGAAAGUCAAAGACACAUCAACCGUUUUCAAGUUCAAAUGCCAACAUCCCUGGUAGAUCGGUGUUGGCUUACGGAAUACUGACUGGCCCUCUACAGUCUUCAACACGUACGUCCUGCUUAUGCUGCAGCCCAACGCACUAACACAAACAACAAACCCAGAGGGAAGGAUAAGGUGUACGGUGAAGUUCCGACACAACACAACCUAUAAUGGAUUCCCACCUCUCCAAUACAACUAUAGGAAUCACGCCGUCGUUCAACGCUUUGGAAAGACAUCCACCAAACAGCCUGUAUUUAUACAGCCACCGGUCGGAGACGCAUUUCACCUGCAAGACAAAAUGACCCCCUCAUUAAUCUCUAGAGCUGUUCGAUCGGACAACCUCUUAAGGGCCGCCGAACAAACGAGAAUGACAGAACACAAGCUUGCUUCAACCCUUUCUUCCUCCAGUGUAUGUUUCAACUCCCCGCGUUCUGUGGCCUCAAUCUCUCCUCGCUGCCUGUCGGCGGCAGCAGCAACAUAUCCUCGGGGACGCCCCUCCGACACGAGGUUAGGGCAAUUUAGCACCGGCAGGAGGAAAAAUCACCCAGGAACCUGCUUUGGCACCGGCAAGGAAUAGGCCGGGACAAGCGGCCGGGGGUAGCAGAUGGCAAUGAAUCUGUAAUCAGAAGUCUCUGGUGCGCGGAGAGGUACUGGUGGAAUGCAAUCUUCAAAUAGUGCACGCGAGACACUCUUUGAUUUCCCGGCCGAAACGGAAGGGGCCUGUGUGCGUUCAGUUCACGGCUUCCGCAAGGUAACAUUACUCGGGUCCUCAGAACGUUGCCAAGGAAAUUCAUUCAAUCUUGAGCAGUUCGCUUGACAAUCUCGUGCCAACCCCCAACGGAUGUAUGCUUCCCCCACCCCCCAUUCCUCCCAGCAUGGGGCCUGUCUGCCUACUAAUCAUAUUCAAGCAGGCUGAAGACGUACAUCGCCAGUUGGACCUGAACUUAAAUACGGCGCUGCUCUAAUGGCUCCCAAAUGGACGCCAGGAUGUCUCGCCUCCCCACGGACCUCACCUGGCUUUCCGUCCUGGCGCCUUGCGUGUGUGACGUUGUGGCAAUGAGGCGCCGUCCUAAACUCCUCUGUGACCUUAAAUGCUCCUCCUCCCCCUCCCCUCCGCCCUAGAGUCUUUAUAAUUGGCUAAUUAAACGGAAAGACAACAGCUCCGGCAUACCUCAUUAACGGCGCCUCUCCGUCAGCCUGCACCGUCGCGGUCGUUUCCUGAAACGGCGCUUCUCUCGCCCUCCUCUCCCACCCCUCCCCUCACGCCUCCCCUCCGGGCUCCCCCUUCACCCCC
ensembl:lncRNA